GACCAUCUGUGUGCUGCUUUUACCAAGCCGUACCUGUUUUCUGAAUUCCUUUUUAACAACAUGAAAUUUUCAUUUAUUGUUUUGUAACUGUUUCACACAAAUAGUUCUGUUUCUCCUUUUAGAGAGUCAGUAUUUGAUGCAGAGCCUUUAGCGUAUUUUAUUUUUCACAGUCCUCCUCCCCACCCCUGCCAAGUAUCACACUCCCAUAAAAAAAGUGUUAGGUUUAAAUAGUACUACCUCUAAUUUACUUUUACCAUUGUUUUAAACCUUUUGGUUUCACUGUUGUUUAUAUCCUUUUUUUAUAGCUCAUAUCAGCGGCCACAUGGCUCUCUCCAUUUGGAUGAUGGUGAAUACUGGUCCAGGGCAGCCUCUUACAAUAAGGGAAAAUCCCACCGACCCGUCUUUGAGAACAGCAUGGACAAGAUGUACAGGAACUUAUACAAAAAGGCCUGUAGUUCUGUUUCUCAUACACAGGAAAGCUUCUGAGACCAUCCAUGAUAAACUGUGUGAAUGUCCGUGUCAACCUCUCAAUGAAAUCGUUUGAUGUGAUCGAUAUCUGUAUUCAUUUUUUUUAAAAACAGGUGGUUCAUUGAGUAAAAUAGUUAACACUGAAUCAAGUUUAUUACUUCAAAUGGUGCAUUUUCAUAAACAAGCCUUUUUUAUUGCAGGAGAUUGUGCUGUUUCAGAUGUCAGAGCUAUGCCACACAAUCACAACUUCAAUCUCUGAGAGCAUGCUUCUCACAUAUAUCUCAUAUCAACAUCUGCAAAUUGAACAGUUUCUCUCUAGAAAUGUUCUUCUGCCCUAAUCACCUUGUAUUUUUCUUUUAUUUUUAAUUAAUAUUAACUUAGAAAUGAACAGAAAGAUAUACUAUAUAAAAUGAAUUUCCCAAGAAUUUAAACCCUGUUUUAACUGAUAGUUUUUACUUUUCUUCUAGGUAUAUUUCUUAGCUCAUAAGAAAUAGCUUUUUUAAUAUUCAUUUUUUAUUUGUUCUUUUUAGUUAUACAUGACAGUAGAAAGCUUAUAUAAUCAUUUUCUUCCUCUUUUCUUUAGUUCUUCUUUAGAAGAACUACUUUAUAAGAUACCUAAAAUGUGUAAGAUUAGACAUAGCAGCGGCCAUGUAUAAACCGUGAAUAACUAAUUUUUAAGAUAGAAUGCUUUGCACAAUUUUCUUCAAGGGCCAUGCCUUUUGAUGCAAGUAGAAUCAGAAAAUAGCCUAUAUCAUCAAGUAUGUAGAAACUCAGUAAAAAUAGGGACUUGUAAUUUAAACUCUUUGGCAUUUUGAAGCAGCCUCACUUUAUUGGACACUUGGAACCAUAGGGAAAUAAAAUAAUAUGGCAGAGUGCUUUUUAGUUAGGCACUCAAAAUUUUAUUGGUUGAAUAAUAAAAUGAGCUCCUCGUUUCCCAUCCAACACAUAACCUAUGAAUCCAGUGACACUUUGAAGAUAUGAAACAAAAGUCAGUUGCCAAAUUCACCAGAGAGUGAAUGAAGGGAAAGCAAAGUGUUUGAAAUAAGUAAAAUUUAUUUACAAGCUUGAAGAGUUGACUACAAGAUAUUUUCUCAUUGACUAUCAUUGGUUAAGUCCACAGUUGUGAUUUAAAGAGAAAAAGAAAUGACUUGCAGUCUACUGAAAUUAAAAUUAAAAUGGGAAAUUGGAUAACUUUGUGUUAGGAAACAAUAUACAUGUGUUAUCUAAUAAUAGAACUUUUAACUUCAGGUUAAGAAUGUUUUAGUAUAGCAAUCUGUGAUAUAUAGAAAAGGGCAUGGCAAUAUGAGCUGGAGUCCUAGGCUUUCUCCCAUCCCUGCCAUUUUCUAGUUGAAUCUCUUUAAUUCUCUAGUCCUUAGUUUCCUCAGCUGUCAAAUAAAGGGAAUGGUAUGGCUGUUAAACCAUGUUCUGUGGACCCAGACCAUGGUUCUAAGAGAUGUUUAUAGGAAUGUAGAUAUAAUUUUUUAUUGGUCAUGUAAGUUUCAUGAAAGUUGGUUUGACACACACAUGUGGGUGCAUGUGUAUGUGUCUUAUUGAGUCCUACGUAGAAUGGCAGGAAUGAAAAUGGAUGCUAUUAAUGUGUGGGGGCAGCACUUAUAAACUGGGGCUGUUAGCCAAGUUAGGUCCUAGGGUCUCCAUAAUCAUACUGAAAACUACCAUGUGGGAGACUUUAAGAAAUUCUGGAUAAACCUUUUACAGUAUCUAGUAGAAAGUCUGACCCAUAAUUGAUGCUUCUUAAAUAUUUAUUGAAUUAACCUAGAAUUUCCUAACCUAAAUUGAGCAUAUAACAAUGUUGUUACAGCCACUACUCCCUGUUUCCCCAACUCCCCAUUGCUCCACCCCAAGUGCUCUUAUCUGGUACAUUAUCUGGUACAUCAUCCAACUGAUGAAAUGCUAACACUACACAAAUACUGAGUUACCCUCUGGCUGUAGGUUAAAUAAUGUUUUGUACAACAAGCUUUUGAAUUUUAGCAUUGAAUAAUGAAUGCUCUUUUUAGAAAGGCAUAUCCUCAGUGGAAAUUAGUGUUUUUUUGGGAAAAGAUGAAAAAUUCUUCUGUUUUAAAAGUUGCUGUUUAAUGAAAAUAACAAAUUUGUAUAUCAAAGACAAUAUUAUAUACUAUCACAGAAAAUCUUCUGAAUAAGUAACAUGAAAAUUACUUAUUGUGCCUAUGUCUGCUAUUAGCUAAGAGCCACAAAAAGUAGAACUCAAAGAAAAUUUAGAAACUGAUGACCAUCUUCCUAUGGAUUAAAUUUGGCAUAUCUAUAAAGAAUGGGAGCAUAUUCUUAGAUAUACAGCAUCUUUGCUGCAUCUGAUUAUUUUCCAUUUCCUAAUGGAAGGAUUGGUCUUUGUUGUUCUAUUACUCUCACUUAUUGUGUAUUGUAGUGUUUUUAAAUAGUAAAACCUUCAAGUACUAAUAUAGUUGUAUUUUCUCAUUCAUAGAAGCAAAAGGUACAAUUGUUUAUUCCUAUCCUUUAUUUCCCAUAAAUGUGAUAAUAAUCAUUGGGCUUACUAUGAAAUAAGUAAGAUUGUUUUCUUCCUUUUAUAUAUUUUCUUCUUUAAAUAGAAAGGGAAUUUUAGGAAAGAAAAUGUUUAAUUUAGCCAAGAAAUGACGACAUACCAUUGGGAGAAUCUUCCCUGGUUCUACUACUAGUUAUGGUACUCUAAAAUCAUUUAUCCUUCUUGAAACUCAGUUUUGUCACAUAUAAAGCAUUGAAAUGAUUAAUUUAAAAUAAUAAUUUUAGCAGUCUAACAUUUAUAUAAUUGUACAAUUGAUUAAUGUGUAUGAUCAGGAAGUCCUAGGCAGUGUAGUUGUGAUUUGAUUUCAAAGAUUAAGCUCCUGAUUAAAAACUAGGAGCAAGUAGAGAAUCAUUGUGUUUACUUGCUAAUAAUAGCUUUAUUAAGAUAUAAUUAGCUCUCAAAGUACAUAAUUAAGUAGUUUUUGCUAUUUUCACAGAAUUAUGCAAACAUAACUACUAGCUAAUUACAAAAUAUCAUCCCCCCCAAAAAAAAAUCCUUUAACAAUUUGCAAUUACUUUCCAAUAUCCUGUCCCCUCAACUCUUGGAAAACACUAAUCUGCUUUCUGUCUCUCUACCUAUUAUGGACAUUUCCUAUAAAUGGAAGCAUAUAAUAUGUGACCUAUUGUGUCUACAUUCUUUCACUUAGGAUGUUUUCAGGGUUCAUAAAAAUAUAACAUGUUUCAUUAUUUAAUUUAUUUUUAUUAGUAAAUAAUUCAUUGUAUGAAUGUACCAUGUUUUGUUUAUCUAUUCAGUUGAUAAGACAUUUGGGGAAUUUUCACUUUGGGCUCAUUAUGAAAUUUGCUAUGAAUAUUAUAUUCAAUUUUUUUUUCCAGGAAAAUGCCAGUUUAUUGAAUAUAUUACACACAUUGUCAUUUUUGUUCCUUGUGAUGACACUGAAUGUGUUAGUACAUGUGCUCUGAUGAGGAAACUAAAAGCCAGAGGCAAGCUCAUGAGUGGCUAAGCCAGGACUUGCAUCCAGAUCUUCUGGACCCAAAGCUCAUGCUGAUUAGAUGACCUGGUGAUGGGAAGAGGGAAAUAAGGGUGGUUUCCCCAAAAGUAUAACCAGAAAGUGUCAUUAGCUUUAUCAUAACACCUCCUAUGACCCAAAUUUGAUUCUUUUUUUUUUAAUUUUUUUAUUGUUGGCUGUUCAAAACAUUACAUAGUUCUUGAUAUAUCAUAUUUCACACUUUGAUUCAAGUGGGUUAUGAGCUCCCAUUUUUACCCCAUAUACAGAUUGCAGAAUCACAUCAGUUACACAUCCAUUGAUUUACAUAUUGCCAUACUAGUGUCUGUUGUGUUCUGCUGCCUUUCCUAUCCUCAAUUUUUGUGUGGACAUAUUGUUUCAUUUCUUGUGAGUACAUACCUAGAAGUUGAAUUUCUGUGUCAUAUGGACUUAUGACAUUCCAAGGUGGCCUACCUUUAAGAGGACCCCAGUAGCCUUUGACUCAGAGGACCUCAAAAGCCUUCUCUUGGAUCAUCCAUGGCUUUUGUUUAUGACAGCCUGUGGUUUUUGCCUUCAUGGAUCCAGGUGCCUGAGCUACUACCUACCCCAAUAGGAGAUGCUUCAGCCAGUGUCACUGUGGACAUACUGACACUGGUUUCCAGUACAGUUACUGCAUAUAACUGGCCCUGACCCCAUUACCCAUACCAAUUUUAACUACCUUGUAUGCCUGUGACAAGUUCUUGUUACUGAAGGCAUGCACUCAGUUGGCCCUGGCUUUUGCCAUAGUAUAUACAAGCACUGCUGGUUUGUAUCACUGUAUGCUUGCCUUCUUCCAGCCCUCAACAGCAUAUGUACUUGCUAUUGAUACAUUGCUGGUUUGUACCACUAUACAUGUUCCAGCUCAUAGCCACCUUUCACUGCUCCACUACUGGCUCUAGCUUUUGCAAACAUAUGUACUCACAUCAUCAUCUCUGGCCUUUCCCUAUGUGGGUGCACUCAUCAUUGGCCUCAAAAGCCCCAAGGACCCCCAACAACCCCUGUGGAUACCAUAGAACCCUACAGUAUUCACUGCUGAGGACCACACUGGUGGUCAGUGUUUUAGACCUCAGCUGCCUGAGCUAUUGUGCCACUUAUCCUACCCUCCUGCAGAUCUGAAGUUGUGGUGGCAUGCCCCUUCAUUUGGUUCUACAUGUACCACUAGUCCCAGUGCCAUGGCAUGUUCAUGCUCCUCCAAAGAUAGUCUGUUAAAUUUGAUUUCUCCAAAUUGAUGACUCCAAUGCAAGAGUACAGGGAAACAUGAAUCCAUCAAAAGUAUACAUUUUAACUUAAGUAUACAUUUUAACUUACCUUAAACAAAUGGAAGAAAGUGAAACAUGAAUUACCUGACAAAAAUUCAAAAUAAUUAUUUUAAUGAAGCUCAGUAAGAUAACAAGAUAACACAGACUAACAAAAACAGGAAAACAAACCAUGAACAAAAUGUUGAGACGCCCAACAAAGAGAAUAAAAUACAACAAAUUCUCAAGCUGAAGAAUACAAUGAACUAAAAAAUGCACUAGAGAGCUUCAAGAUCAGACUUAAACAGAAGAACUAUUGAAUUCAAAAAUAGAUUAUUUAGUUGGAGGGAAAAAUUAAAAGUAUAUAGUAUUAAUGGGACAGUGCAAAUAACCAAUACAUGCAUUAUAAAAGGUUAAAAAGGAGAUAUAAAGGGGCAGCAGGCUUUUAAAGAAAUAACUGAAACUUUUCAAACCUUGGAAGUAGACAUCCAGACUCAAGAGAAAUAGAAGACAAGACAUCCAGAAGAGUCCAAAAUGAUUGAAUAAAAAGAUGUUUACAAUGAAAUGCAUUACAAUUAAACUGCCAAAAUACAAUGGACCUUUGUAAAAACUACCAGUGGAUUUCUUAACAAACCUCGGAAGCCAGGAUUCAUAUGAUUAAAGCAGUGAAAUAACUGAAAAGAAGUGUAUCUUGAAAAGCUAUCCUUUAAAAAUGAAUGGGUGAUAAAAUCUUUCCCAGACCAAAACGGAGGGUGUUUGUCCUACCUGCUUAAGGGAGUUCUUCAAGGAAAAUAUAAAGAAUGCUAAAUAGCAACUUGAUAGAAUAUGAAAAUAUAAAUCCCACAGAUAAAAUCAAAUAUAGAGUGAAAUAGGAGCUAAUUUAACACUGUAAUGGUGGUGUGCUAAUAAUCUUUAAUCCUAAUAUAAAGGUUAAAAAACAAGUAUUGAGGGGCUGGGGAUAUAGCUCAGUUGGUAGAGUGCUUGCCUCACAUUCACAAGGCCCUGGAUUCAAUCCCCAGUACCCUUACUCCCCCCCAAAAAAGAAAUUGUGUGUGUGUGUAGACUAACUGUAAUGACAAAAAUUCAGUAAACAGUUCACUAUACAAAAAAGCAAACUCUGAUUUCAAAAACAUGAAGUAUAUGUAGAAGAAGCUAAAAUUGUUUUGUUUGUAAUUGAACAUAAGUUGUUAGCAAAUUAAAAUAGAUGGCUACAUACCAGAAGUUUCAUACAAUAAACCACAAAGGAAAAAAGUAUAGAUAUACAAAAGAUAGAGAAGGUAAUCAAACCAAAUCACUAUGAAAAAUAAGGAAGACAGGAAUAUAGGAAUAAAAUAGUUGCAAAUCAGAGAACAGGUUAAUAAAAUGGCAGUAGCAAGUUUUUAUUUACCAGUCAUUAACAGUAAGUGUAAAUGGAUGAAACUUCCCAAUAAAAAGACAUAUAAUAAACAGAUAAAAAAACCAAAACCUAGCUGUAUUCUGUCUGCAAGAGAUAUUUUGGGUAUGAAAGCUGAAAGUGAAGGAUGAAAGAUUUUCCAUCCAAGGGCUUACCAAAGACAACAGGAGCAGCUAUACCUUUAUCAGACAAAAUGGACUUUAAGUCAAAAACUAUAGAGACAAUAUUAUUGUAUAAUGAAAGAUUCAAGUCAAUGGAAAAAUAUAACAAUUAUAAAUCUAUCUGCAUCCAACAUUAGAGCACCCUAAAGUAUAAGAAAAUUGACAACAAAAUGAUAAUACUAGGAGGCCUAAAACACCUAGUUUAAAGUUGCUUUUCUGAAACAAUAAAUUGUCAAACCCUUAGAAUAACUAAGAAAAAAUAACUUUCAGAUAAAAUUAGGAGACAUUACAAUGGAUGACAGAGAAAUAAAAGAUAUCAUAGUCUAUUAUACAUUAUAUACCAAAAAAUUUAGUAACCUAUGUAAAAAGGAUAAAUUCAACCACUCAGAAAAUAAAAGAGUUUCAAGACUGAAUCAGGAAGAAAUAACUUGACCAAUUACAAGAAAUUCAAUUCUCCUUGAAUUUCAACCAAGCCCACCAUCCAAUGGCUUCAUGGGUGAAUUGUUUCACAUAUGCAAGGAAAAUUAACACUAUUUCAAAACAUAUGAAAGCUAAACACUCAAACUCAUUUUGUGAUACCAGCAUCACCCUGAUUCCAAAACCAAAAACACUACAAGAAACCUUAAAUCUCUGAUGAGCAAAUAUACAGAAACAUUUGGUAAAAUACUAGAAAAUUAGUUUAGUAACACAUUAAAAAGAUCAUAUGUCAGAAUAAAAUGGUAUUUAAGGAUAAAUACCAUUUGAUUCUGACAUGAUCUCUGUAUCCUUGGGAUACAGAGAUAGUUCAAUAUACAAAAAUAACUGUGAUAUAUAAAGAAUGAAAUACAAACCAAAUGUUCAUCCUAAUAGAUGCUGAAAGGCUUUGUCAAAAUUCAAUAUCCUUUCAUGAUAAGGAAUUUAAUGAAAUACCCAUAGCUAGCAUUUAUAUUACUCCAACUUCUGUUAUUGUAAAAAAAUACAUGAUAUAAUCAACUUUAAAAGAACACAGGUUUAUUUUAGCUCACGAUUUUGGAGGUUCCAGCUCAUGAUUGGCUCACUGCUUUGGGGUUUGGACAUACAUUAUGGUGGGAAGUGUGCAGUGGGGCAAAGAUGUUUACUUUGUGGCUCAGUUGUGAAAAAGAGACCAGAAUAUCAGUCUUUUUCAAGAGUAUGAUCCCAAUGACCUAAACUCUUUCACUAGAUCCCACCUAUUAAAGUUUCCACCACCACCCAAAAAGCACCAUUCUGGGGAACAAACCUUUAAACACAUGGGCCUUUGAGGGACUUAAGGUCCAAACUAUAAUUUAUGGGAAAAAAAUUGAAAAUGUUUCUUCUGUGGUCUGGGGCAUAGCAAGAGGCCCCCUUCACUGUGGUUCAACAUAUUAUUGGAAGUUUUAGUCUGAAUAAUUAGGCAAAAUUUUAAAGGGCACCCAAAUUAUAAAGGAGAUGCAAAAGUAUCUCUGCAGAUGACACUAUCAUAUUUAUUAAAACCCUAAAGAUCUACACAAAAUCUGAUAAAAUUAAUAAAUUCAAUUAAGCUUCAGGAUACAAAAUCAUCACAUAAAACUCAGUAUCAUUUACAGUCACUAACAUUGAACUAUCUGAAAGAAAAAAUAAAACAAUACCAUGUAAGUUAGUUUUUAAAAAAAGGCUCUGGGAUUAACCAAAGAAGUGAAAAAUUGUACAUGGAAAUUUUGACACAUUGAUGAAAUUUUAAAAGACUAAUGUUGGAAGGAUAUACCAUGUUUAUGGACUAGGAACUUUUUUUUUUUUUUUUUUUUGGUACCAAGGAUUGAACUCAUAGGCACUUAACCACUGAGCCACAUCCCCAGCCCUUUUUUAUAUUUUAUUUUGAGACAGGGUCUCACUGAGUUGCUUAGGGACUUGCUAAGUUGCUGAGGCUGGCUUUGAACUUAGGAUCCUCCUGUACCAGCCAAACCACUGGGAUUACAGGCAUGUGCCACUGAGCCUGUCCGUGUUCAUGGAUUGGAAUACAGUACUGUUAAAUGCCUAUACUACCCAAAGUCAUCUCCAUAUGCAGUUUUUAUUAAAAUCCCACUGGCUUUUUUUAUUUUUACAAAGCUGGAGAAAACAGUCUAUUCAUUUGGAACAUAAAAGUCCUUAAAUAGGCAAAGUCAUUUUGAACAAGAAUAAAGCUGGAGAUAUUAGUCUUUCUGACUUCAAAUUAUACUAAAAAAUCUGUAGUAAAUCACUGUGGCACUGACCAAAAAAAAACACAGAUAUAAACAAAUAGAGGAAGGAGGCCAAAAGUAAAACCUUGCAUAUGUAGUCAAGUAAUCUUUGGCAAGGGUGUCAAUAAUGCAAAAUGUGGAAUAAUCUCUUUUAAAAAUGAUGUGCUAACUGGCCAUUACCCAAAAGACAAAAGAUACAAAGUGUUGUUGAUGCAGAGAAAAGGGAACCUCUGUACACUGUUUGUGAGAAUAUACAUAAUCACUGUGGAAAUCAGUUUGAAAUUUUUCUCAGGAAAUGAAGGAUAAAAUUACCAUAUGACCCAACAAUCCCUCUUCAAGAGUUAUAGCCAAAGAAUUGAAAUCGGGGUCACCAAGAGAUAUCUGCACUCCUAUUUUUUCUUAUAGCAUUAUUAAAAAUAGCCAUAAUAUGGAAUCAACUUUUAUAUCUAUCAACAGAUGCAUGAAUAAAGAAAAUUGUGUAUGUACAAUGGAAUACUACCCUGAAUAUUGAUGGUAGGACAGGCAUACUAGUCACCAUUUAAAAUAGAAGGAAGUCUUGCCAUUUGUUAUGUGGAUGAAGCUGGAAGACACUGUGUGAAGCAAAUUCAGCAAAACAGAAAAAAAAUCCUACAUGAUCUGACUUAUAUGGGAAUCCAAAACAAACUCAUAGGAGGAGGGGAGAGGAUGAUGGUGGUUGAGAGCCAUUAGAGUACAUAAGGAAAUGAGGUGAUGUUGGUCAAGGGGUAUAAAGUUUCCACUGUGUACUGGACCUAAUAGGUUUCUGAACUCAAGAUUCAAGGAGCUUACCCUGAAUAUUGAUGGUAGGACAGACAAGUUAAAAAAAACUGUUAAUAUAUAUGAAUUGACUCAGUUUUGCAUAUUCUGUGUAAGCUCUUGUGUUAUAGGUGCAUUUCUUCAUCUUUGUAUCACCAGCACCAUAAGUUAGGCAUAUCUUUAUUAUAGCACUUAACAAACCAAAUUAUCAGUGACUCCCUUAACUCUUCCUGCUGGUCAGUGAUGUCACACGUCAUUUAUCUCUGUAUCCUAUGGCUCAUGGGAGAUGUUCAAUAUUUGUUGAAUGACUGCAUUAAAAAAUUCAUGAUGGGCCAUUAAAAGCAAUGCAAAGUCUAACUCUGUCCAGAUAUAAGAAUUGAGAUGUCCUGACUGAUAACCCUUUACUAUCAGCAAGUGCUUGCAGCCAUGAGACAGAAGAAAUGGAAAAGAUAGUAGAAAAAACAUGGUUUGUCCCAUGGUGCUCAAGAAGAAAGCCAUAGUUCCUCAAUUCAAUUAGUUAAUGAUUCUGUAGCAUAGUUUUUCAAAAGUAUAUUCUUGAAUUAUUUUUUAAAAAGUAUAAUGGCUUGCUUUUUUGUCUGUCUUUCUAACCAAGAUUCACAGAGCUUAUUAUAUGAGUAGGACCACCUCCUAAACUGCUACUGCAAGAGAUGAUAAGUAUAGUGUUAGGCAAUAGAUCAAGGAAGAAAUUACGUACAGUUGUUCUGGGCACCUUAUAUUGCAAUGGAAUUUAAAUCCCUUCUAUGAAAUGCAAAUUUUUUAGUUCCCAAGAAGACCCUUAAAAAUCAUUUUUCCCAAAUGUCUUAUCUUUUGUAAUUCACAAAGCAGUUCAUUUUUGACUGAAGGAUUGUAUCUUCUAGCGCUCAUACAUAACCGUCCUAGAACUUGUGCUUAUCUCUCUUAAUUCAUAAAAGGUAUAAUGUGAAUAUUGAAGUAAAAUAGUCUCAAUGAAAUGCAAUCUUUUAUAUAUCUUAAAUUUUAGUAUAUUGCAUUCAAGCUGGGUUAAAUAAUGUACAUGAGCCUGAUGGAAGAGAAUGUAUUCUGCUUGGAUUUGUAUAGUGUUUGAAUGUUUUCAGGUUUGUGGGGGAGUGAGAAAGUGCUUUUUUUUGUUUUAAUCCCCAUGCCUCUUCAGUAUAUAUUUUUGAAGUUCUUAAACCAAGGGAAUUAGACUAAUAUUCAUUCAAGGCUGUAAUCUGUACUUGGUGAUUUGUAUACCUUAUCUGACUUGAUUUUCACAACAUGUCUAUGACCCAGGGAAGUUAUGUGAAAUUUCAGUUUUACAGAUGAGGAAACUCCUCAGCUUUAAACUACUGUAAUUGGUCAGUGGUAAAUAACAGCUAGUAAAUGGUAAUGUUGGACUUGAAUCUAAAUACAACUCUGCCUCUAUAAUAGGUAAGCAGUUUAAAAAAACUCCACUUGUUAUAGUUCUUGUUUCAAAAUGGUGGAGCUGAUACCUCUUCAGAAAGAAGCUAAGUGGAUUCAAAUGAAAACUUAAUGCAUUAAAAUGUAAGGACAUUGCCUGAAGAUGUAUUUUAACUGAUCCAAGAUCUCAUAGAGACCAUAGUUAAUGUAUAGGAUAGCUCCACAUACAGGACUUUGGAUAUGGUUCCUUUAGAUAUCCUUCCUUUGGGUAUGUUUCCCCAGCCAUGUUCUUUAGUUGAGCAAUGACAGAGUCAAGCCUCAUUACAUUUCUGUUAAAGUAAAAGUUUAAAGAAAUUUCUGUGUUUAUGAUAUAGUUCAGAAAGAAGAUAUUAGAAAAACCCUUAGUGAAAAACAAUGUCUUGGAACAUAUAUAAUUGAAUUGAAAACAAGUGCAUCCUGGUAGUGAUUUCUGCUUAUCAAUGAAGGUAAUUAAUUCUUCACUAAUUUACUUGAGUUUUUUGUUGUUUUUUUAAGUGUAAUUAGUGAGUUUUGCAAACAAAGAGUGGAGGAAAUUUAUGCAUGUACGGUUUUUCAACUAAUAUAUUCAUAUUUCCAUUACCUGGGAUUGAAAACAAUGUUGCAUAGUAGGAAAAAGUACUUCCAACUUUUUUGGACUUCAUUUUUGUCUGUUUAUGAAAUAGGAUAUUAAUAACUAUUGCCCUUCAUUCUUCAGAGAAGUAAUAGGAUUAAAUGGCCAUCUUUGACCAUUCCCAGACAUAUAAUCAUAAUACCUUGCUUUUAUGAAUGAUCUGGGAAACUGAAGUCUGCAGCUUAGAGUGUUCCAUACUGCCUAGAAGCAAAACUAUGGACUCUAGAGCUGAACAGAAUCACUGUUACCUUUUCUGUCACCUCUAUGUUAAAGUGAACUUUUGUGAAGAUGUUUCUCAGUUGUAAGAAUAAAAGCCAUUUCAUAUAGUUGUCCGAUCCUUUGAAGAGUCAGUAUGUGUGGAGCAUGUGGUGCGAUGCAUGAGGCUCAGUAAAGGGUGACUGCAACUACUGAGAGUCUAAGUCAGUGGAGAGAGCAUUUUGGAAGAUCUUAAGGAUCUGAGUAGAGGAAAAUAGUGGAGAUGAGCUAUGUGAAUAAAUAUGGAGAAAUAUUUACAAAUUUUUAAAGAUAUAAGACCAAAUUAUUCAGUGUUUUGUAUGAUCUAUAAGUUUUCUAGUUAAUUUAUGUAGGCUGUAUGAUUUAGCAUAAAGGACAGUUUACACCUGGGUUUGAAUUUUGUACUGUGGUGAAAUCAGAAAUCUUGAACCUUAAUUUUAUUACUUAUAAAUAGGGAUAAUAUCCACCAAGGCUGGGUACUUUAAAGACUAUAUGAGGUAGUAAAUGCAAAGUGACUAGUAUUGUAUCUAACAAACAGUAGAUGCCUAAAAAUUAUUAGUUCCUUUUUCCUCUCAAUAGUUUCAUUGUUUUGCACUCAAAUCCACACAGGCAUAGAUAAUUCCUCCACCAUCAUUAUUUCUUUUUUAAAAAAGAAACAUGUACCUUGACAAUUGAAACUAAACAUGAAUUCAGUUUCUGA
rnacentral:lncRNA from 1 species